CUUGGGGUAUCAUCUUGCGGCAACAAAAAUUUCAUCUUGCGAUAUCACCUAUCAUCCUCUCGAGUCUCAUGUCUCAUGUCUCGUAUCCGAUCUACAUCCAUCUAGAGCUCCACCUCGCUUUGGACUCCUCUUGGCUCCUGAAGCUCCACCUCGCACUGAGCUCCCUAUCAGGUAGUAAUAUCCUCUCAUCCUCUUCUUCUCCUCCAAAAUAACCCUAUCAUCGUGCAACACCUUCAGGAUUUCUCCACCAGCUACCAUCCUAUAGUCUCUCAAAUCCUGUCUGCUCAAUGAGAUAAG
rnacentral:lncRNA from 1 species